rnacentral:rRNA from 1 species
GACGAACGCUGGCGGCGUGCUUAACACAUGCAAGUCGAACGGAAAGGCCCUGCUUGCAGGGUACUCGAGUGGCGAACGGGUGAGUAACACGUGGGUGGUCUGCCCUGCACUUCGGGAUAAGCCUGGGAAACUGGGUCUAAUACCGGAUAGGAGCCAUUUUUAGUGUGAUGGUUGGAAAGUUUUUUCGGUGUAGGAUGAGCUCGCGGCCUAUCAGCUUGUUGGUGGGGUAAUGGCCUACCAAGGCGGCGACGGGUAGCCGGCCUGAGAGGGUGGACGGCCACAUUGGGACUGAGAUACGGCCCAGACUCCUACGAGAGACAACAGUGGAGAAUAGUGCACAAUGGGCGCAAGCCUGAUGCAGCGGCGCCGCGUGGGGGAUGACGGCCUUCGGGUUGGAAACUCCUUUCGCUAGGGACGAAGCUUUUUGUGACGGUACCUAGAUAAGAGGCGCCGGCUAACUACGUG